UGGGGAAUCUUAGACAAUGGGGGAAACCCUGAUCUAGCCAUGCCGCGUGUGUGACGAAGGCCCUAGGGUCGUAAAGCACUUUCGCCGGGGAAGAUAAUGACUGUACCCGGUAAAGAAGUCCCGGCUAACUCCGUGCCAGCAGCCGCGGUAAUACGGAGGGGACUAGCGUUGUUCGGAAUUACUGGGCGUAAAGCGCGCGUAGGCGGGCUGGUCAGUCAGGGGUGAAAUCCCGGGGCUCAACCC
rnacentral:rRNA from 1 species